GAGGAAAGUUGCAACCUGUGUUGGAUCUCUCUCUCUGUCUGGGACUGAGGCACUCUGGCCAGGGAAGACAGGGAGUUGAGAGUCCCAGUCUGUGAGGCCCCAUGUACUUCUGAUCACCCUGUGAGGGCCCCAGAUUAGCCUCUGUCAGUGACCUCUGGGGUUGGCACUGCCUGAAUGGUGACCGAUACGGGAUGGGACCAGCUGGUGCAGAUGCUGUGCUUUUGGUUGGGGACAGAAAAGACAAGGAUUGGACGCAAUAGACUGCGGGAGGUCCAGGAAUGCGAAGGCCGCAUCCACCAGGCCAAGAGGGUGGCGUGAGGCAGCUUCCCAGGGAGUGAGGGGCUUGUGACACCUGUCCAGCCGACUGGUCUGCCCGAUUGGUGGCCGAACGGAAACAGCAUGUGGUGCAGGUCUAGGAGAUGGAGACGAUGAAACAGACCUGGAUGUGAAGCCCACUGAUAAAAGUCUAACAGGUGGUGAGAAGGAUGAGCUCCUAAGCACCUGAAAUAACCAAACAAAUGUAUUUAAUUUCAGUCAAAGUUUUUUUAAUGGCAAUAAAUAAUAGUUCUUGCCACUCCAGAGAAAACUUAAUAUCUGUUUAAUAGGCUCCAUAUAACUUCCACGGCAGAGUAUCUUAUUGAGUUCAAGGCACAGCAUCUAAACCCCCCCCUGGAUAUUUCCACAUGGAGUGAUCAGAAUGGCCAGAAACAGAUAACAAAGUUGUUCAAGAAGGACUGUGCUGCCAUCACCUGGUUAUGAUAUGAACUUGCAGGGCUAGUAACCUGCCCAAAUCAGUCUCUGCAUGUUUAGCAAAGUUAACAUUUUCAAAUGCUAUCUUGUCUUUUUUGCUUUUAGAAAAAUAAAGGACAGGACAUUUACCAAUCUGCCAAUCAUUUAGUUACUGGUUCCCAACAGUAAUGUAUGAAAAACUUCAUGUAAAUAUUUUGUACACUGAAUUUAAUGUUUAUAAAAUAAGCUAUAUUAAUGGAGUUUGCCAUUGAUUUUAAAAGCCAGUACAGCUGAAGAGAUAAAUCAAACACAUAAAUAAAUUCAUUUUUAAAUGGCAGGGAAGACUGACUUCAUAAUUACACAAGUGAGUGUUGGGUGUUUCUACUUUUCAUAAGAGCAUCAACGCUAAACUGAAAGUAAGUGACAGGUGCCAUAAACUGUAGUGCUCUCCUCUCGCCACUUUCAGAUCAUGGGACCAGAGAUCACAUUUCUCCAAAUAUAGCUGCUGGAGCAGGCCUAGCAGGGAAUUCCUUCAUAUCAUUUCAAAUUUUCAAUUCUAAAAGUUGUAUGUCUUAGCUAUUCAAAAGUAUGAUGCAACACAGGUCGAAAUUUAGAACAAUAUUAAUACUGCAAGCAUGUAUUUAGGCUUAUUUAUUUUAGGUUUACUGGUGAUCAAUGUUUUUUCCAAGCAGAAACUAAUCCCUUUCCUGCAUUCAAGACUUUUGGAAGAGUGAAUAGGCCUUAUGUGUGUAUAUAUAUAUAUAUAUAUACACAUACACACACACACACACACACACACACACACACA